AUUUCGACCGCUGUACCAGGCUGAACAUACGCAGGUAUAAUUAGACAGCGAUGGACCAAUUUUACACGUACCAUCAUUUAAACAAGUAGCGUGUUCAUCUUCGACAUUGACACAACUCGAAUGAGGAUGGCAGGGGAACCAAUCGCAGGGUAAAAGAUUGCAACGUUGUCCCAAAAAUCCAGAGCUACAAAUACAAUGCCAGGUAAUCGAUCUAGGAAUUGCAUCUGCAUACCUUCAAAUCCGUCUUUGCAAACGCAUGAAAAAUCUUUUUCGGUGCUGAUACACGUACCGCCAUUUUGACAGGGAUUAACUGCGCAUUCAUCUACGUAAAUCUGCGUAUGAAAUAAUGAGUCCUUUCCUGUAUAGCUCGACUUGCAAGUACAAGUGUACGCUGCAUUGGCGUCAUUAUGGAAAUGACAUUGUCCUUCGUUUAAACAUGGUGAGGAGUCGCAAGCAUUUUGCAAUUUAUCGCAUCUGGAACCUGUUUCGUUGAGUGUAAAAGGGACGCAUAUAGGAUAUUUAUGAAAUUUCAUCGGAACAUCUUACCUACAUAGAGACCAGGGCACUCGCAGCUAUAUCCGUCCGUUUCCUUCACACAUGUUCCACCAUUGAAGCAUGGAUUUUUAUGACAAACAUCAUUAUCUAUCUCAUACGUAUCGAGACAAUCGUCAAUCCUCGUGGAAGCUCGACCUUUGGUCGACGUAUUUUCUGGACAGGCUGUACAUUGAUUUUUUCCAUAUUCUGGUUGGUAAUAACCAAUAUCACAUGUGAAGCAUGGCUCCAGAGCUAAUGCCAAUCUGUGAUCACGUUUACGAUGAGAAUAAUGACCAGGUCGACAUAUCGCUAGAAGGAGAAAAAAUAUUGGGAUAAUUGACAGAUUAAAAUAUAUUGACACGUAGUAAGUAACUAAUAUUAUUCUUGGGAAUCGAUACUCACCAA